UCCAGAGCAGCUCCCGUGUUCCCAGAUUCUGAGCUGGGUGGGCCAUGAUAGAUGCUGGCCUGACCAGUUCUCCUAGACCCUGGGCCUCUAAAGGCCUGGCUCUGCCAGGAAGUCCAACUGCAUGAGCAAUUCUCCCAGCCUGGUGGUAGCGGUUGGUUCCAGUUUGUGGUCUUUGUAAAACUUGAAAAACCAUUCCUUGUCUGACGUUUGAGAGAUACCAGCUACCAGCUGGCUGGCUACCCUCCUCAAAAGCCUGAGGCCUGGUAUUUCCGAAAUGCUUCACCAUGUUUCCCUCCAAGAGACGUUUCCUUGCAGUGCUGGGGCUGGACCUGGGUCUUGUACUUGCAGGCAAGUGCACUACCACUCAGCUAUAUGUCCUUCUACUGUGUGUAAUGGCCAAGAGGCAGCUCCUAUGGGGGACAGGCAGCCAGAGGCUGUGGUGAACACCGGACACAAGCUGUGUGCAGACACAUGUGACAGGG